rnacentral:tRNA from 1 species
GGAGGGGUUCCCGAGUGGCCAAAGGGAGCAGACUGUAAAUCUGCCGGCGCUGCCUUCGCAGGUUCAAAUCCUGCCCCCUCCACCA